AGCUGGCAGAGGUGAUUCUGAAAAAGCAGCAGGCGGCCCUAGAAAGAACAGUCCACCCCAACAGCCCCGGCAUUCCCUACAGAACUCUGGAGCCCCUGGAGACGGAAGGAGCCACCCGCUCCAUGCUCAGCAGCUUUUUGCCUCCUGUUCCCAGCCUGCCCAGUGACCCUCCAGAGCACUUCCCUCUGCGCAAGACAGUCUCUGAGCCCAACCUGAAGCUGCGCUAUAAGCCCAAGAAGUCCCUGGAGCGGAGGAAGAAUCCACUGCUCCGAAAGGAGAGUGCGCCCCCCAGCCUCCGGCGGCGGCCCGCAGAGACCCUCGGAGACUCCUCCCCAGGUAGUAGCAGCACGCCCGCGUCAGGGUGCAGCUCCCCCAAUGACAGCGAGCACGGCCCCAAUCCCAUCCUGGGCUCGGAGGCUGACGGUGACCGCAGGACCCAUCCGACUCUGGGCCCUCGGGGGCCAAUCCUGGGGAGCCCCCACACUCCCCUCUUCCUGCCCCAUGGCCUGGAGCCCGAGGCUGGGGGCACCUUGCCUUCUCGCCUGCAGCCCAUUCUCCUCCUGGACCCCUCAGGCUCUCAUGCCCCGCUGCUGACUGUGCCCGGGCUUGGGCCCUUGCCCUUCCACUUUGCCCAGUCCUUAAUGACCACCGAGCGGCUCUCUGGGUCAGGCCUCCACUGGCCACUGAGCCGGACUCGCUCAGAGCCCCUGCCCCCCAGUGCCACCGCUCCCCCACCGCCGGGCCCCAUGCAGCCCCGCCUGGAGCAGCUCAAAACUCACGUCCAGGUGAUCAAGAGGUCAGCCAAGCCGAGUGAGAAGCCCCGGCUGCGGCAGAUACCCUCGGCUGAAGACCUGGAGACAGAUGGCGGGGGACCGGGCCAGGUGGUAGACGAUGGCCUGGAGCACAGGGAGCUGGGCCAUGGGCAGCCUGAGGCCAGAGGCCCCGCUCCUCUCCAGCAGCACCCUCAGGUGUUGCUCUGGGAACAGCAGCGACUGGCUGGGCGGCUCCCCCGGGGCAGCACCGGGGACACUGUGCUGCUUCCUCUGGCCCAGGGUGGGCACCGGCCUCUGUCCCGGGCACAGUCUUCCCCAGCCGCACCUGCCUCACUGUCAGCCCCAGAGCCUGCCAGCCAGGCCCGAGUCCUCUCCAGCUCAGAGACCCCUGCCAGGACCCUGCCCUUCACCACAGGUUCACUCUAAAGGAGUAGCAUUCCUGGGUCACAUGGUGUGAGCAUUUUGAGAGUCGUUGGUGUCCUAGACGCACAGAAAUUGACCCUCCCACCCGCAAUGAGCAGGACCCUCCUCUGAAGACUUCCCACGGGUCAGACUGAAAUAGUCACUUCUCCAAAGCUGGAUUUGUCUAUCACAUGGUCCAGUGUCAUCGUGGGCUUCUUAGCUCCCGGUUUGGGCGUUUCCUAGGAAUUCUUUUCCCUCCUGCUGCCCCUUGGUAGCCUCUCUGGGUUCAUGACACGCGUGUGAGACGCUGUACGUUAGGCCUCAUGCUUUGCUCUGAGCACUUGAGGGCCUUAUGCUGGGCCCUCGAGUGCUGGGCCACCCAGCAGUCGUGUCCGCAUGUGGGAAGGCCGUGCCUCUGUGGCAGCUGUGUUGGCUGGAUCUGUGUUGGUGUGUUGGCUGCUGCCACCUGGGGAAGUGUCUGGGCGUGUGUGGACAGGUGUGAGGGGCUGGGGCUGGGGCAGGGGGCAGGACGAAAUGCAGGCCUGUGUGGGUGUGAGGGGUGUGUGCCCGCCCGGCUCCAUGUGGGUGCCUGCUGUGGCGGUGCUGGCGUGUUCUCAGCAGCCAAGGCCAUGGGGCGUGAGGACUCCCUGGGUCCCCGCUCUGACCCUUGCUCCUGCAGGGCUGAUCUAUGACUCGGUCAUGCUGAAGCACCAGUGCUCCUGCGGUGACAACAGCAGGCACCCGGAGCACGCCGGCCGCAUCCAGAGCAUCUGGUCCCGGCUGCAGGAGCGGGGACUCCGGAGCCAGUGUGAGUGUCUCCGAGGCCGGAAGGCCUCCCUGGAAGAGCUGCAGUCGGUCCACUCUGAGCGGCACGUGCUCCUCUACGGCACCAACCCGCUCAGCCGCCUCAAACUGGACAACGGGAAGCUGGCAGGGCUCCUGGCACAGCGGAUGUUUGUGAUGCUGCCCUGUGGUGGGGUUGGGGUGGACACUGACACCAUCUGGAAUGAGCUGCAUUCCUCCAAUGCAGCCCGCUGGGCCGCUGGCAGUGUCACUGACCUCGCCUUCAAAGUGGCUUCUCGUGAGCUAAAGAAUGGUUUCGCUGUGGUGCGGCCCCCAGGACACCAUGCAGAUCAUUCAACAGCCAUGGGCUUCUGCUUCUUCAACUCAGUGGCCAUCGCCUGCCGGCAGCUGCAGCAGCAGAGCAAGGCCAGCAAGAUCCUCAUUGUAGACUGGGACGUGCACCAUGGCAACGGCACCCAGCAAACCUUCUACCAAGACCCCAGUGUGCUCUACAUCUCCCUGCAUCGCCAUGACGACGGCAACUUCUUCCCGGGGAGUGGGGCUGUGGAUGAGGUAGGGGCUGGCAGCGGUGAGGGCUUCAAUGUCAAUGUGGCCUGGGCUGGAGGUCUGGACCCCCCCAUGGGGGAUCCUGAGUACCUGGCUGCUUUCAGGAUUGUCGUGAUGCCCAUCGCCCGAGAGUUCUCUCCAGACCUAGUCCUGGUGUCUGCUGGAUUUGAUGCUGCUGAGGGUCACCCGGCCCCACUGGGUGGCUACCAUGUUUCUGCCAAAUGUUUUGGGUACAUGACGCAGCAACUGAUGAACCUGGCAGGAGGUGCAGUGGUGCUGGCCUUGGAGGGUGGCCAUGACCUCACAGCCAUCUGUGACGCCUCUGAGGCCUGUGUGGCUGCUCUUCUGGGUAACAAGGUGGAUCCCCUUUCAGAAGAAGGCUGGAAACAGAAACCCAACCUCAAUGCCAUCCGCUCUCUGGAGGCCGUAAUCCGGGUGCACAGUAAAUACUGGGGCUGCAUGCAGCGCCUGGCCUCCUGUCCAGACUCCUGGGUGCCUAGAGUGCCAGGGGCUGACAAAGAAGAAGUGGAGGCAGUGACCGCACUGGCAUCCCUCUCUGUGGGCAUCCUGGCUGAAGAUAGGCCGUCGGAGCAGCUGGUGGAGGAGGAAGAACCUAUGAAUCUCUAAGGCUCUGGAACCAUCUGCCCGCCCACCAUGCCCUUGGGACCUGGUUCUCUUCUAACCCCUGGCAAUAGCCCCCAUUCCUGGCUCUUUAGAGAUCCUGUGGGCAGGUAGUUGGAACCAGAGAACAGCCUGCCUGCCUUGACAGUUAUCCCAGGGAGCCUGAGAAAAUCCCUGGGUCUAGAAUGGGGACUGGAGAGGACCCUGAGAGGAGACGGGCUGGGCGGCGACCCCCACAGGGUUCUCGAGAACAGAUUCUCCCCUCUGGUAUGGGCCCUGGCUGUGGCCCCCAUUCCUCAGGACUGCACAGAGGAGGACUGGCUCCGGCUCCGUCGGGCUCACCCUUAACCACUAUUCCUGGCUCUGCAAACCCCAGACUUUGCACACAGCCCCAGGCUCCACACAGAAAUGUGAACUUGGCCUCAGACAGGCUGGCCCUUCCUAGGCUCUAGGGGCUGGGGGAGAGUGGGGAGCCAAGAGGUCCCAUAUUCCUGAGUGCAGGGGGAGUCCCUCUCACCUGCUUCCUCAGAUGACCCUGGAAGCUUCCCCCUACCACCAGGCACUGAGACGAAGCUCCCAGACAGCCGAGACUGGCAGCCCUCCAUCUGGUCCAUACCCUCGCCAGAGGCCCCCCUACAUCAACCUCCUGGCGAUGCCCUGGUGGAGCAGAUGGGUGCUCUGGGAGUCCUGUGCUUCCUGAUCCAAUGGUGCCAAACCCUUCAUCUCCCCCAGAAGCACAGCAUACCCCUGGGACCCCUCGGCCACUGCCCACUCGGGGGAGCCUUCUCUGUUUCUGGGGCCUCCCCCACCACAGCUCUGAUUCCCACCCCACAUAGGAAUAGCCUGGCUGAGGGGGAAGGGGUGGGAGAGAAGAUACAGACAUGGAGGAGGGGAGGCUGCUCUGGCAAAGUCUUCAAGGCUUUUGGAGGUCCAGGCCUGGGGUCAAGAAGGAAAAUGUGUGUGAGCAUGUGUGUGAAUGAGGCGUGUGUGUGAGCGUGUGUGAGUGAGGCGUGUGUGUGUGUCUUUCCUAGGACCCACCAUACCCUGUGUAUGUAUGCAUGUUUUUGUAAAAAGGAACAAAAUGGAAAAAAAUCUGAACAAUAAAUGUUUUAUUUGCUUU
rnacentral:sRNA from 1 species